rnacentral:rRNA from 1 species
GACGAACGCUGGCGGCGUGCUUAACACAUGCAAGUCGAACGGUGAAGCGCCUUCCUUUUUGGUGGGUGUGGAUGAGUGGCGAACGGGUGAGUAACACGUGAGUAACCUGCCCCCUUCUUCUGGAUAACCGCAUGAAAGUGUGGCUAAUACGGGAUAUUCUGGGUCUGUCGCAUGAUGGGUCUGGGAAAGAUAUUGUUUCGGUGGGGGAUGGGCUCGCGGCCUAUCAGCUUGUUGGUGGGGUGAUGGCCUACCAAGGCGGUGACGGGUAGCCGGCCUGAGAGGGUGGACGGUCACACUGGGACUGAGACACGGCCCAGACUCCUACGGGAGGCAGCAGUGGGGAAUAUUGCGCAAUGGGCGCAAGCCUGAUGCAGCGACGCCGCGUGAGGGAUGGAGGCCUUCGGGUUGUGAACCUCUUUCGCCAGUGAAGCAGGCCUGCCUCGUUUGUGGGUGGGUUGACGGUAGCUGGAGAAGAAGCGCCGGCUAACUACGUG